rnacentral:rRNA from 1 species
GAUGAACGCUAGCGGGAGGCUUAACACAUGCAAGUCGAGGGGCAGCACUAUGUAGCAAUACGUUGGUGGCGACCGGCGCACGGGUGAGUAACGCGUAUGCAACCUACCCUGUACAGGGGGAUAACCCGGAGAAAUUCGGACUAAUACCGCAUAAAGAUAUAACUGGGCAUCCGGAUAUAUUUAAAGCUUCGGUGGUACGGGAUGGGCAUGCGUAACAUUAGCUAGUUGGGAGGGUAACGGCCUACCAAGGCAACGAUGUUUAGGGGUCCUGAGAGGGUGAUCCCCCACACUGGUACUGAGACACGGACCAGACUCCUACGGGAGGCAGCAGUGAGGAAUAUUGGUCAAUGGGCGGAAGCCUGAACCAGCCAUCCCGCGUGCAGGAAGAAGGCGCUAUGCGUUGUAAACUGCUUUUCCAGGGGGCGAACGUUUCGUACGUGUACGGGAGUGACGGUACCUUGGGAAUAAGCAUCGGCUAACUCCGUG